UGGCGCCGCGCGGCGGCCUGCCGCCCUCCUUCUCCUCCUCCUUCCCUUCGCCUCCCUCCCCCCGCCGUGCCGGGCCCCACCUUGCCGAAGUGCGCGGCCCAGUGGAUGGGCGUCCAGCCGUAGAAGGAGUCCUCGGCGGCCAGAUUAAGCAGUCAUCCAUAGGGACCCCAACGGUCUGGAGUGGGAUGACAGGAAUCUCAUGGAGUUCAAUAAGGAGAAGUGCAGAGUCCUGCAUCCAGACAGGAGAAGUUCCUGGAACCAGGACAUGCUGGGACCACCCAGCUGGAAAGCAGCUCUGCAAGGAAGGACCUGUGGUUGUGGUGGAGACCACUCUGGACACAAGUCAGCACUGUACCCUUGCCACAAAGAAGGCUAAAGUAUUCUUGCCUGCAGUAGGUAAAGCAGCAGAUUGAGGGAGGUGAUCCUUCCCCCUCUUCUCAGUGCUGUUAACGCUGAAUCUGGAGAACUACUGGGACCCCAGUAGAAGAGAGACCUGGGCAUACUGGAAACAGGCCAAUGGAGGGUCACCAAGUACCUCUCUAGUGAGAAGAGGCUGAGAGGGCUGAAGCUGUUCAGGCUGGAGAAGAGGAGAUUAAGGGGGAUCUCAUCAAUGUCAGUAAAUACCUGAAGGGAUGAUGCCAAGAGAAUGGAGCCAGGCUCCCUUCAGGAGUGCUAAGUGCCAGAACAAGCAGCAGCGGGCACAAACUGGAACACAGUUCAGUUCAGAGUUCCUUCUGAACACCAUGCAGCACUUCUGUGCUGUGUGGUUGCCGGAGUAGUGGCAUAGGCUGCCCAGAGGCUGUGGAUUCUCCUCCCUGGAGGCCUCCAAAAGCUGCCUGGCUGCGGGCCUGGGCACCCUGCUCUGUGGCUCUAGGUGAUGAGGGGUUGGGCCAAAAGGACACAGAGGGCCCUGCCAGCCUCAGCCAUCCUGUGAGUCUACGCUCUUAAGUUUUGCGACUAUAAUUCUUAUUGUGAGGUUAACCUUUUUUGUUUCCUUACUGGUAAUCUACACCAAACAUUCCAAAGUAGACAACCACAGAAAUCACGACAUUAUACUGGUUCCUUAAUCAAUUUGUAGCUGGCAUAUAAUUUGGAGAAUCACAGUUGUCUCUCUGGGUUUGUUUUUUUUUUUUUUCCCAGUUGUGAUUAAUUACCCAUAAAAAUAUAUAAAUAUGUCAUUUUUAAUAUUCUGCUUUUCCACUGGCUUCCUUAAUAUAUCUUGGCAAUGCAUUUUAUAGGUUAAUUAAUUGUAAUUGUAAUUAAAUUCAACUGCAAUUAAAAAUGUUUUCUUUAACUGCUGUCAUAUGUUGUGAAACUGGGACACAGGAAUUCUGGUUUUAACAUUUUUUCUACGUUUCAUUACAUUUACAUUCUAAUUCAUUCUCUUCUCUAUCGUUAUCCUGGUUAGACUUUAUACCGAACAACACAAGCCUUAAACAUAUUUUUGACAAUCUUUUUGUGUAAAAGUUUAGGUACAGAGAAUAUAAAUCUGUUAUGUGGUUCUAACUUCUUUCUAGGCAAUAGCUUUUGUUUGCCUGACAUAUAUAGCUGCCUUUAUGGUCUGUGUGUAUAUACACUAAACCAGGAGACUGACCAUCAAGGGUUAAACUGUAACUUACGCCCUCUUAAGAACAGAAGAGGAAGCAGUAAUAUAUAACAACAUGUCAGGUUCUGGUUUGUAUGAAGACAGAUUUCUGCAUUUAGUGUGCAUUUUAUAAGAUAAAAUUAUUUAAGAAAUAGAAUAGAUAGUAUGCUUACUGUACUACUUACACAACAAAAUAUAUUCCUAAUUUCUUAUGACUCAGAAGAGUUCAGCCAAUAAGUUUAGUUGCUCACAUAUAUGUGUGUUUGGAAAAAAUAUUGUUAUUUGCAAGCCUAUUUGCAUUAAUUUUGUCCUCUUUCUAUUCCUGGUCUUUUAAGGGAAGUGAGAAGCUUUCUGUCUCUGUCAGUUCAAGGAGGUGGGCCUUCUGCUUACUCAGGAGUUUAACAGAACAGCAUUUCCCCCAAGGAAGUAACAAAAAAGAUGCAGUUUUAUUUUAGCUGGUUUUACUUUUAUGUUCUCUUUUGCCUCAAGGUUGUGAAAUAAAAUAGUCUGUAAAUGAGGACUUCUUGAAUAUUCAAUAGAGUCUAAUAAGUAUACGUUUAGAUACCAAAUACAUUAUUUUAAAGUGUUUUGUGAAAAUAUAUCUCCUGAGCUCUGGUAAGGCUGCAUCUUGAGUACUGUGUUCAGUUUUGGGCCCCUUGCUACAAGAAAGACACUGAGGCCCUGGAAUGUGUCCAGAGAAGGGCAAUGAAGCUGUGAGGGAUCUGGAGCACAAAUCUUUUGAGGAGCAGAUGAGUGAGCUGGGGUUGUUUAGUCUGGAGAAGAGGAGGCUCAGGGAUGACCUUACUGUCUUCUACAUCUACCUGAAAGGAGAUUGUGGGAAGGUGGGAAUCAGCCUCCACCCAGGUAACAGUGAUGGGACUAGAGGGAAUGGCCUGAAGUUGCACCAGGGUUCAGGUUGGAUAUUAUGAAAAACUUCGUCUCUGAGAGAGCAGGCAGGCAAUGGAACAGGAUGCCCAAGGAGGUGAUUGAGUCACUGUCCUUGGAGGUGUACAAGAAACAUUUAGAUGUACUGAGGAACAUGGUUGAGUGGGCAACAUCUGUGGUAGGUGGAUGGUUGAGCUAGAUAGUCUUAGAGGUCUUUUCCAGCCUUAAUGAUUCUACGAUUUACACAACUCUGUAAUGUAUUCUGCAUUUUCUAUGUGCCAUUUUUGUACAAAUUAAUUACAUUUGCCAAUUUUUCUUUGCAGGAAGGUUGAAGGUGGAGGACUUUAUGAUAACUCAUAUGGAAUUAUGUUGGGUAUUUUUGUAAAAAAACAAAACAAAACAAAACCACCACCACUCCCGCUUUGGAAUUUAAUUGAAUACAUGCUUUGUUCAAAUCCCUCCUUCUUUCUUAUGGACAGUUUGGACUAGUUAACAUUCAGAGUUUUAUUUAGUUACCAUACAUACUUGUCUAGUGCCAUUUGAGACGCCCAAGAGUAUUCUUGCUUGUUGCCAACUGCUGCAGGAAAAUGGUACAAGCUUACAUAGGUAUCCUGCCAUGCCUGUACAGAGCUAACAUAUCUCUGAAUAACAGCCUUGCUAGGUUGCAUUAAGAAUCUACAUUCUGACAAGCAGACCCUUCCUAAAUAUCAUUUGCAUUGAUGGACCUAGUCACACAGGGACAACCUGCAUUUGCAGGAGGUUGUCACGUAAUUCCAUGCUGUCCAAGCGCAAAAGGACAAACUAGUUCUGACAUUAUUCAUCAUUCAUUUUGUUUUGGAAAUCUGUGAACUGUGAUAGAAAUGUAGCAUCUCUUUAGAUGCCAUGCAUUUAUUUUAGCAACGGUGAGAAACUUUCUAUAAUUUUCCUAGUGCAAAUAGAAUAUGACUCAUCAUCUUCAGAGACUAGUUCAAAGUUUAGGCUUUCUUCCUGGUUUUUAUUACACUUAAGACCACGACUGAGCACUGUACCACUUGACAUAUGUUGUUCGUUCUUAUGUGGAUUUUUUUCUAUCUUCACCUUUCUUCCACGAAGGCCAACUGUUCUGUUGUGUUUGCUCCUAAAACAGCAUGGCAAAUAAACGUUAUUCUUUGUGAUGGAAGUUACUGGGAGAAGUAGCUGAGAUUUUUUGGUAAGAAGUUAAUUUAAUAAACAUAGAAGCGUUAAAUCCCAAGUGCUAAAAUUAAAUUUGUGUAGUAUGUGAGGCCUCUCAGGGCACAAAGACCAGAAAAUUAAUAGCAGCAGUAGCUGCUAACAUGGAAAAAGAAAGCCACGAGUGGAAAAAGAGCAAACUGGAAGUUCUUUGUCCUCCUUUCCAGCCCUCAGUUCUCAGAAUUUUGUUUGGCAAGGAAAGCAGGGAAUCUGUCUGACUUUCAAAUAAUUACUGACGUAUUACUCCAUUGCAGGCAAGUAGCAAAGAGCAGCUGCUUAUUGCAGCCGGAGCCAAACUCUCCCUCUGCCAUCCCCCAUUUCUUCCUGCCUUCCCUGGAGAAAGCUAUCUCGCUGUUAAGUAAACUAGGAUUGGUUUGCAAGGUACAUUAAGAUUACAUUAGAAAAAUAUUUACUUACGUAUAAAGGAGCCUUUUAAAAAAUCUUCACUGCUUAGGAAACAACGUGAUUUUGUGGGUAAAAAAUAAAAACAGAUUUGUUACUCUACAGUUGUAAAGCUGCCAUCUUUUACGAGCCUGGGAAGAGUGACCUUAUUCAUUGUAAGCUUGUGCCAAUUCUGCCUCCACGCAACUAUGCUCUUCCUGAUUCAUGGGACUUAUCUGGGCCGUGCUUAACAGGUCUGCUGCCUGACAAUAAAGGAGUUGAUGAUGAUUUUUGGCUCAUUGACAAACUCUCCUUCAUUUUGCAACAUUCCUUACAAGGUUUAACCGAAAAUUAAGAUUUCUUGAGAGAGAAAAUGCCUGUAACAAAUUAAAAAAUAACAAAAUAAAACAACAGAAUAACCAAGAACCACAACAACAACCUGUAAGAAAUCAAUAUCAAAUCAUUGCCAUUUAUACUGAGCCUAUACCGUUGCAAUAAAAAGGUCCUUCAAUGUUCUUGUCUUAAAUAAGUGAAUAAGUAAAUAAUAAUUAUCUGCAAUGCUACCUGAAUACUGAAAGCUCAUGAUUUCUCCGUUUAUGUCCACAUUGAAGAUGAAUAUAAAACUGAAUUCCUGAGUACUUUUAUUCAUUUAUGAACUUUCAUCAGAAAAAAAAAAAGUAUGUGUGCGUGGAGGAGUGUUGCUCAAGUUGCUCUUUAAGCAAUUCACAUGAUGACUCCCCGAAUUCCUCCUGAUAGUUCAUUAGAGACGAUGAGUCCCUGUAUUCCUCCUGAUGCUUCAUUAGAGAUGCUGUCUUCCUCCCUUGUUAGGCACUAGUGAGUAGUUGCCGUGCUCCACCCUGCUGUGCAGUGUUGGAGGAAGCAACCUGUACGUGUUACUUGUGCUCUGUCCUCUGUUGAGAUUUAAGGAAUGCUAAUGGCUGUGUGAAAAUUUCAUGUCUUGCACCCAGAAGGAUACCGUGGGGGACUGCGUGUUGUAGCUCCUGGAAUUCAUGGCUGCUGAUGUGGAGUCUGUGCAACUG
rnacentral:lncRNA from 1 species